UACAGAGGUCCCAAGCGUUUGUUCGGAUUCACUGGGCGUAAAGGGUGCGUAGGUGGUUAGGUAAGUCCGAUGUGAAAUCUCCAGGCUCAACCUGGAAAUGGCAUUGGAUACUAUUUAGCUUGAGGAGUGGAGGGGGGACUGGAAUUCUCGGUGUAGCAGUGAAAUGCGUAGAUAUCGAGAGGAACACCAGUGGCGAAGGCGAGUCCCUGGACACUUCCUGACACUGAGGCACGAAAGCUAGGGGAGCAAACAGG
rnacentral:rRNA from 1 species